UGGCUCAGAACGAACGCUGGCGGCAGGCCUAACACAUGCAAGUCGAGCGCCCCGCAAGGGGAGCGGCAGACGGGAGAGUAACACGUGGGAACGUACCCUUCAGUUCGGAACAACCAAGGGAAACUUUGGCUAAUACCGAAUACGUCCGUAAGGAGAAAGAUUUAUCGCUGAAGGAUCGGCCCGCGUCUGAUUAGCUAGUUGGUGGGGUAAUGGCCCACCAAGGCGAGGAUAAGUAGCUGGUCUGAGAGGAUGAUCAGCCUCACUGGGACUUUUUCUCGGCCCANAGACCUACGGGAGGCAGC
rnacentral:rRNA from 2 species